rnacentral:tRNA from 1 species
UAUCGAUAUCGGGACUUGAACCCGAAUUUGUUGCUUGAAAGACAACUGUCCUAACCUUUAGACUAUAUCGAU